CCUACGGGUGGCAGCAGUGAGGAAUAUUGGUCAAUGGACGCAAGUCUGAACCAGCCAUGCCGCGUGCAGGAAGACGGCUCUAUGAGUUGUAAACUGCUUUUGUACGAGGGUAAACGCAGAUACGCGUAUCUGUCUGAAAGUAUCGUACGAAUAAGGAUCGGCUAACUCCGUGCCAGCAGCCGCGGUAAUACGGAGGAUUCAAGCGUUGUCCGGAUUUAUUGGGUUUAAAGGGUGCGUAGGCGGUCGUAUAAGUUAGAGGUGAAAGCCCGAGGCUCAACUUCGGAAUUGCCUCUGAUACGUUUCGGCUAGAGAGUAGUUGCGGUAGGCGGAAUGUAUGGUGUAGCGGUGAAAUGCUUAGAGAUCAUACAGAACACCGAUUGCGAAGGCAGCUUACCAAGCUACUUCUGACGUUGAGGCACGAAAGCGUGGGGAGCAAACAGGAUUAGAUACCCGGGUAGUC
rnacentral:rRNA from 1 species